ACUCAAAAGAAGAUAUUGAUUUCACGUUUUUUGACUGGUUAACGAUCAAGUUUUGUUUCUGUUGAAAGAUUUUUUUUCUUCAUGAUGCAGAAGGGGGUUUGGUAGAUGAGAAACUUAUUUUCAUAGGAUAAGAGGCUGCCAUAUCAAGCCAAUGCUCCCAAAGUGUCCGGUAAAGAGAUUAGCCCCUUAGGGCAGCUGCACCAUAUCAAAAAUUAUGUCAUGAGAAGGAUACUCAAAAAAUUAGGAAAGUUCUUAUGGAGAGAGCUGAAAUGGGGGUGAAAAGAAUGGCAAGAAAAGCAGGAGCAUUGGUGGCAUCAUCUCUUGCUUAGAUUCCAUGCUUUUACAUGUCUUCCUUUGAUGAAGGAUGAAAUUCUUGAAGUGGCUGGGAAAACAUACAAAGCAGGAAUGUCUCUCUUCGUAAUCAAAGACACAGAAAAAGAGUUGUCUCCAUAGGUUUUGCAAAAGAAAUUGCGAGAGUCGCUCAAGGUGUGCAAUGUUUUGCUUUAAACGAUACCAUUUGUUCUUCGUUUGCAUAAGAUGCUUAAUACAAAAUGUUUUCUGCG